rnacentral:rRNA from 1 species
AGAGUUUGAUCCUGGCUCAGGACGAACGCUGGCGGCGUGCCUAACACAUGCAAGUCGAGCGGAGACAGUGAGUAGCUUGCUACGAACUGUUUUAGCGGCGGACGGGUGAGUAACGCGUGAGCAACCUUUCCCAGACAGGGGAAUAACACACCGAAAGGUGUACUAAUACCGCAUAAGACCACGGGAUCACAUGAUUCUGAGGUAAAAGAUUUAUCGGUUUGGGGUGGGCUCGCGUCCGAUUAGGUAGUUGGUGAGGUAACGGCCCACCAAGCCGACGAUCGGUAGCCGACCUGAGAGGGUGAUCGGCCACAUUGGGACUGAGACACGGCCCAAACUCCUACGGGAGGCAGCAGUGGGGAAUAUUGGGCAAUGGGGGGAACCCUGACCCAGCAACGCCGCGUGGAGGAAGAAGGUUUUCGGAUCGUAAACUCCUGUCCUUGGAGACGAGCAGAAGACGGUAUCCAAGGAGGAAGCCCCGGCUAACUACGUGCCAGCAGCCGCGGUAAUACGUAGGGGGCAAGCGUUGUCCGGAAUAAUUGGGCGUAAAGGGCGCGUAGGCGGCUCGGUAAGUCUGGAGUGAAAGUCCUGCUUUUAAGGUGGGAAUUGCUUUGGAUACUGUCGGGCUUGAGUGCAGGAGAGGUUAGUGGAAUUCCCAGUGUAGCGGUGAAAUGCGUAGAGAUUGGGAGGAACACCAGUGGCGAAGGCGACUAACUGGACUGUAACUGACGCUGAGGCGCGAAAGUGUGGGGAGCAAACAGGAUUAGAUACCCUGGUAGUCCACACUGUAAACGAUGAAUGCUAGGUGUAGGGGGUAUCGACCCCUUCUGUGCCGCAGUCAACACAAUAAGCAUUCCGCCUGGGGAGUACGGCCGCAAGGUUGAAACUCAAAGGAAUUGACGGGGGCCCGCACAAGCA